rnacentral:rRNA from 1 species
GCCAGCUGCCAAGAAAAGCCGCUAUUGUUUGUACUGUACCCGUACCGUAAACCGACACAGGUAGGUGAGGAGAGAAUCCUAAGGCCGACGGGAGAAGCAUUGUUAAGGAACUCGGCAAAAUGACUCCGUAACUUCGGGAGAAGGAGUGCCAGUGAGAGCUGGCCGCAGAGAAUUGGCCCAAGCAACUGUUUAGCAAAAACACAAGUCUAUGCAAAACCGUAAGGUGAAGUAUAUGGGCUGACGCCUGCCCGGUGCUGGAAGGUUAAGGGGAGAGGUUAGCGCAAGCGAAGCUUUGAACUUAAGCCCCAGUAAACGGCGGCCGUAACAAUAACGGUCCUAAGGUAGCGAAAUUCCUUGUCGGGUAAGUUCCGACCCGCACGAAAGGCGUAAUGAUUUGGGCACUGUCUCAACAAUGCACCCGGUGAAAUUGAAAUACCAGUGAAGAUGCUGGUUACCUGCGCCAGGACGGAAAGACCCCAUGGAGCUUUACUCCAGCUUGAUACUGGGAUUCGAUAUUGUAUGUACAGGAUAGGUGGGAGGCGAAGAAGCAUUGACGCCAGUUGAUGCGGAGCCGCUGUUGGGAUACCACCCUUGCAGUAUUGGAUUUCUAACCAGCAGCCGUGACCCGGCUGGGGGACAAUGUCAGGGGGAGUUUGACUGGGGCGGUCGCCUCCGAAAGGGUAUCGGAGGCGCUCAAAGGUUCCCUCAGAAUGGUUGGAAACCAUUCGAAGAGUGCAAAGGCAGAAGGGAGCUUGACUGCGACACCGACGGGUGGAGCAGGUACGAAAGUAGGACUUAGUGAUCCGGUGGUAUAAAGUGGGAUUGCCAUCGCUCAACUGAUAAAAGCUACCCUGGGAUAACAGGCUUAUCACUCCCAAGAGUUCACAUCGACGGAGUGGUUUGGCACCUCGAUGUCGGCUCAUCGCAUCCUGGGGCUGAAGUAGGUCCCAAGGGUUGGGCUGUUCGCCCAUUAAAGCGGUACGCGAGCUGGGUUCAGAACGUCGUGAGACAGUUCGGUCCCUAUCCGGCGUGGGCGUAGGUUAUUUGAGAGGAGCUGGCCUUAGUACGAGAGGACCGGGCUGGACUGACCGCUGGUGUAUCUGUUGUUCCGCCAGGAGCAUGGCAGAGUAGCCAAGUCAGGAAGGGAUAAACGCUGAAGGCAUCUAAGCGUGAAGCCCCCCUCAAGAUGAGAUAUCCCAACGAAAGUUGUAAGACCCCUUGAAGACGACAAGGUAGAUAGGGCAGAGGUGGAAGUGCAGUAAUGCAUGGAGCUGACUGUUACUAAUCGGUCGAGGGCAUAACC